rnacentral:rRNA from 1 species
ACACUCCUACGGGAGGCAGCAGUGGGGAAUAUUGGACAAUGGGCGCAAGCCUGAUCCAGCCAUGCCGCGUGAGUGAUGAAGGCCCUAGGGUUGUAAAGCUCUUUCACCGGUGAAGAUAAUGACGGUAACCGGAGAAGAAGCCCCGGCUAACUUCGUGCCAGCAGCCGCGGUAAUACGAAGGGGGCUAGCGUUGUUCGGAUUUACUGGGCGUAAAGCGCACGUAGGCGGACUAUUAAGUCAGGGGUGAAAUCCCGGGGCUCAACCCCGGAACUGCCUUUGAUACUGGUAGUCUUGAGUUCGAGAGAGGUGAGUGGAAUUCCGAGUGCAGAGGUGAAAUUCGUAGAUAUUCGGAGGAACACCAGUGGCGAAGGCGGCUCACUGGCUCGAUACUGACGCUGAGGUGCGAAAGCGUGGGGAGCAAACAGGAUUAGAAACCCUAGUAGUCCCAUG